UGUAGUCAUCACUGAGGUAGAUGAUGGACGCCUGCCUGAUGACAUCAUCUACACCGUCCAUUUUAUCCAGCGCCUCUCUCACCUCAUCCCUUCUCUCCUUUUCCCUACCCAGUGACAGGGUGGAUUUCCUCAGACCGGCUCUGGAGGUUCAGCCCAGUCGAUGUGUGUUAUAAUCCCACAACAUUCAUCUAAAGACAAAAGCAAAUACUCUGCUCCUCUGCUGGUGCCUUUUCCUCUAACAUGUUGUGACACUGCUACUCUUUUAUCUGUCCUUUCCGCCUGCUCCACUAGCUGUCCCAGACUGCACUGUGGUCCUGCCCUUUCUGCAGAACUGGGAAGGAGCACUGGUCAGAGGUCAAAAACGAAAAAUCCAAUAUGAAUAAGCUCUACCAGGAGCCACUAACGGCAUAUUCACCUCAAUUUUCUUGCUUUUCAUCCACCUCUCCUCUCGUUCUGACUCUCCAUCUCCACUGCAAUGCAGAUUUUUCUUCAUUUUAUAGAAAACCAUGGCUAAGAUGUAGAAGGAAGGUAUACCCACCGAAAUCUAUACACCAUCAAAGCAUUUUAGACUAUUUAUCCUACUAUUUUCACUGUUUCUUCUUACAUGUGAACCGGAGUUUUUACCCACUAAGAAAGUUGGUGUGGCAUGCAGGCAUCAUCCCUUAACUGAGAAGGCUGUGUGGAGGAGAAUGUGAAUGGGAGAUUAAUUACAGGAAGAAGCGACAUAAACAGAACCCCAAGGAAACAUGUAAAUUGCAGCAACAUUUCUCUGAGGGAUACCUGAUAAGAACAGUUUUCCUGGUGGACCAUCCUUCACAGCAUCCUAGAGCAGAGGCUUGCUGAGCUGGAAGGAGCAGGAGUGGGACUGGGAUAAAAUUCCCAGCCCUGCAGCGGUAUUCCAACGGGAGGGGGAAAGAUCCCACUGAGUCGUGGAUUCAACUACCGGGUAAUGAAAAAGUCAAGAACACGGGUUAUGCCCCGUGACGAGUCAGGCAGGUCUUCACCAAACCACUGCUCUAAAUCUCUGUUUGCUCUCUCCUCAGUUUAAAAAAAAAAGGAGAAAACAGGGCAGGGUCUGAUCACUGCUUCCU